GCCCCAGUAGCUCAGGGGAUAGAGCAGCGGCCUUCUAAUCCGCCGGUCGGGGGUUCGAUUCCCUCCUGGGGCACCA
rnacentral:tRNA from 36 species